UCGUCUGAGUCAUGUAGAAUGCCUUUAUCACAGUUGGCCAAAAAACACCUAUUUGAACCUGAUACUAGUGAGCUAGCCAAUCCAGUGAUUACGAAGUUAGGCGUACCACACGGCCAUCCUGAGCUUGGACCACGUGGAUGGACGGCAGGGCCAUCUUUCUCAGCUCGUUGUUAUCAACCUCCCGCACCUGGGCCCAGACUUGAUGAAGCUUCAACCCUCGGGACACAUAUGAUAUCCAAAGGUUUAGGCUGGGAGAAUCAUGAGGUUGAAUACGCUCCAAUGCCUCUUGGAUAUCUUGAAUGGGGUACUAAUGUCUUGAAGAAAUAUCAUACCCAUCUGAAGGGGAGUGAGGAAGGUGUGGAUUAUGUCUAUGGAGCCAUUUAUUGCUCUUUAGGCGACUACUCUGUCUCCCCUUCUCUUUUAAGGUCUUUAUUGGAGAGAUGGGAUCCCAACACCAACACGUUUUUGUUCUCGUCUGGCGAGCGUACAGCCACACUUCUUGAUAUGCAUCAGAUCGCGGGGUUGCCCCUUGAUGGUGAACCUUAUGAAGAAUAUGUUCCCCUAGCUGAUGAGUUGGAUCCUUCGACUCUUUUGUACCCCAACUUCCUGCCUCGGCUCCUAAAAAUUUGGACCAAGCUUGCCGUGGGUGGCAAAGUAGGUUUCAAGGAAUGGUGCGACUUCUUUCACAAUAGUGGAGUAAACUCCUUUGCUACCGAGAGCUUAGAAGACCAGCGUGUGUACACUGCGGCUUUUCUUGCCAUAUGGCUUUGCCGCUACGUCAUUGUUGGUGGUGGGCCAUAUAUUCGCCCUGGGGUAUUAGUGAUGGCGGCAUGGAUUUCCCUAGGACGACGCAUCUCUUUGGGCCCACCUGCUCUUUGCUCCCUUUAUUACUCACUUCGGCGAAUUUGUACUCAUCCGAUUGGCCCUUCAUUCAUACAUAGGAUUUGGCCAGUCCACUACCUUGCUGGAUGGAUGGGCGUGUACCUCAAGAAACCCUAUGGAAACAGAGCAAGAACACCAAAUUUUCCGAGCUCCAGAAUUUUGGCGGUACAACCUAAUAUGGUGAACACCAUGUUUAAGACGCCACGUCAUUUUACUCCUAAAGAGGCACAUGCUUUCCUCGAUGACUAUAAGAAUAUUGCUUGGAACCCCCAUUCUCUCACUAUGGAAGGUGUGUUCAAACCCAAGAGGGCUUUCUUAAUUUCCAUUCGUCGAGGCAUGCUGCCAUGGAGGCGUGGUACUAUCACCGCCGACGUGUGUAUAGCUGAACCAUAUCACCCAGAUCGAGUGGCACGACAGUUUCGUCUUGACCAAGUUGUUCCCUUUUCUCCUCUAGCGAGCCUGUAUACUCAAGAUGAAAUUGGAAUCGCCUAUGCUUUUUGGUCACACCUAUUAUCCUUGGCCCCUGAAGAAUUCCACUAUUUUCCUGAUGAUGAUCGAGUUGGGAACACCUCUGUAGCAUGGGCUAAUUGGUGGAAAAAAUUUCUAAAGCCUUUCGCCGACAUUCUGGACCAUCUUUGCAAUGGCAACAUGACUGGGAAGACCCCUUAUGAUGUAAGGAUAAAAAAUAAGCGUGCACUACAGCACAACAUCAGGCCUCGACCAUUGUCUGACAAAGAUUUUAUGGUGGUGAGGAGAGUACCUAUUGAGCAUCGUGACCAACAUGUUCAGUCCCUAGAGAAGGCAGAGACACUUAUUACAGAUCAAUGGAGACUGGUCCUCUAUAAUUAUUUA
rnacentral:rRNA from 1 species